CUACUCUCCAAUCCCUCUUCUCAUCCUCACGCCAUUUAGAGAAGAUGAAGUUAUUAUCACGGUUGGGUCUCCAUCCUCACGCCUCUUUUCAUAGUUGCCUCUCUCCACUAAAAAUUUUCAUCUUCCUCUGAUUUGAGCCUUUUGUAACCCUAAUUUGGCAGAUUUUGGGUCCUGUCGUCUUUAAGGUAUGCCCACUUCCUUACUAUUUAUACAAUUCUUAUUCCCUUCUUCCUUAGAAAAAUCUUAAUUGACAGUCUUAGGCUUUUGUUCACCGUGAAGAUUGCAAGAAUAGUGAACAGAUUUCUCAUAUCGUACCAAGUAGAUUGUAGAAGGGUUUGAAUUCUUUCUGUAAGUCGUCUGUUAUUCUUCUGCAGUGAUUUAGUUUGUUUACAUGAAUUUAACAUUGAUUUCAGGCCAAAGUUCAAGAGCUAACUGAACAUAUUUUGAAAAGUCACAUUCCUCGAUCAGUGACUGUUCAUUUUAGAGAACUUACCAGGAAGGUUGGUGAUAUUUGACUUUUCUAAUUUUUUUCCAAAGGAACCAUCUCAUAAUUUGCAUGUAUAGCUACAGAAUUCCUGUUCAUAGCAUUUGGGGCUAGACUGGAUUCUUUAUUAUGCUGUAUAUUCUUUUUAAAGCAUUGUUUUAUUAAAUUGCAAAUUUUCAAAAAUGCAAAACUUUGUCAUUUUCUUAGUGACUCCACUAUAUCAGAGCUAAUUUCAAAAGCGGGAAUAGUGGACUAUCUAGUUACUGUUUUAUCUUUCAGAGCAUGAUUUUCUUGGUAGGUGCUUUUGAUGGUUUCCAAUACUCAUUGCUGUUGUACAUGUUAAUGUGUGUCCUACAUAUGCAAUAGAGCUUGUGUGCUUGUAGAGUUAUAACACAGAACUUGUAGGGAAGUGAACCAGGAUGUUUUGUAUCAUCUAUCUUUUUAAUAUGAGAUAUUUGACAUAUUUAUCCUGUAGCUAAUAUUUCACUACUUUUUAUAUGUUUGUCUUCAACUAAGGUUGUGGAAUUUUUCCUUAUAGGAAUCCUCAUUUAACCGAAUAACAGAUUGGGGGUGAGCUGAAAGUAUAUAUUGGAGUCAAGAAGGUUAUUUGCUUGUUCCAUGAAUUUUUGUUAUUUCUUUGGUCUUUCUAGUUUUAUUUUCUUCAUUUUAGGUAUGGUGGACCACACUAAGUAGUUCAAAUAUGAAAUUACUUGUAUAUAAUUUAUUUGUAUUUGUAUUGAUUUCGGAGUUAACUGAGUUUGUAAAUAAUACUUUGGCCUUAAUCUAUUUGGUCG
rnacentral:lncRNA from 1 species